rnacentral:rRNA from 1 species
UGAGUUUGAUCCUGGCUCAGGAUGAACGCUAGCGGCAGGCCUAAUACAUGCAAGUCAGACGGGAUCUAAAUCUAAGCUUGCUUAGAUUUAGUGAGAGUGGCGCACGGGUGCGUAACGCGUGAGCAACCUACCCAUAUCAGGGGGAUAGCCCGGAGAAAUUCGGAUUAACACCGCAUGACACAGCAAUUCGGCAUCGAAUCACUGAUUAAAUAUUUAUAGGAUAUGGAUGGGCUCGCGUGACAUUAGCUAGUUGGUAAGGUAACGGCUUACCAAGGCUACGAUGUCUAGGGGCUCUGAGAGGAGAAUCCCCCACACUGGUACUGAGACACGGACCAGACUCCUACGGGAGGCAGCAGUAAGGAAUAUUGGUCAAUGGAGGGAACUCUGAACCAGCCAUGCCGCGUGCAGGAUGACUGCCCUAUGGGUUGUAAACUGCUUUUGUCCAGGAAUAAACCUUACUACGUGUAGUAAGCUGAAUGUACUGGAAGAAUAAGGAUCGGCUAACUCCGUGCCAGCAGCCGCGGUAAUACGGAGGGAUCCGAGCGUUAUCCGGAUUUAUUGGGUUUAAAGGGUGCGUAGUGCGGCCUAUUAAGUCAGGGGUGAAAGACGGCAGCUUAACUGUCGCAGUGCCUUUGAUACUGAUGGGCUUGAAUGUGGUUGAAGAUGGCGGAAUGAGACAAGUAGCGGUGAAAUGCAUAGAUAUGUCUCAGAACUCCGAUUGCCAAGGCAGCUAUCUAAGUCAUUAUUGACGCUGAUGCACGAAAGCGUGGGGAUCGAACAGGAUUAGAUACCCUGGUAGUCCACGCCCUAAACGAUGAUAACUCGAUGUUGGCGAUAUACUGUCAGCGUCCUAGCGAAAGCGUUAAGUUAUCCACCCUGGGGAGUACGCCCGCAAGGGUGAAACUCAAAGGAAUUGACGGGGGCCCGCACAAGCGGAGGAGCAUGUGGUUUAAUUCGAUGAAUACGCGAGGAACCUUACCCGGGCUUGAAAGUUACUGAAUCGGAGC